rnacentral:rRNA from 1 species
UACGUAGGGGGCUAGCGUUGUCCGGAAUCAUUGGGCGUAAAGCGCGUGUAGGCGGUCCGGUAAGUCCGCUGUGAAAGUCGGGGGCUCAACCCUCGAAUGCCGGUGGAUACUGUCGGGCUAGAGUGCGGAAGAGGCGAGUGGAAUUCCUGGUGUAGCGGUGAAAUGCGCAGAUAUCAGGAGGAACACCGAUGGCGAAGGCAGAUCUCUGGGCCGUAACUGACGCUGAGGAGCGAAAGCAUGGGGAGCGAACAGG